ensembl:lncRNA
GGUGACUCACCUCCAAAACACCUCAUUCUCCCCUGGGGUUGACAUCUCUACGGUGACUCACCUCCAAAACACCUCAUUCCCCCCUGACUCCCCUGAGGUUGACAUCUCUACGGUGACUCACCUCCAAAACACCUCAUUCCCCACUGACUCCCCUGAGGUUGACAUCUCUACGGUGACUCACCUCCAAAACACCUCAUUCGCCCCUGACUCCCCUGAGGUUGACAUCUCUACGGUGACUCACCUCCAAAACACCUCAUUCC